AUUGAACGCUGGCGGCAUGCCUUACACAUGCAAGUCGAACGGCAGCACGGGAGCUUGCUCCUGGUGGCGAGUGGCGAACGGGUGAGUAAUGCAUCGGAACGUACCCGGAAGUGGGGGAUAACGUAGCGAAAGUUACGCUAAUACCGCAUAUUCUGUGAGCAGGAAAGAGGGGGAUCGUAAGACCUCUCGCUUUCGGAGCGGCCGAUGUCGGAUUAGCUAGUUGGUGGGGUAAAGGCCUACUAAGGCGACGAUCCGUAGCGGGUCUGAGAGGAUGAUCCGCCACACUGGAACUGAGACACGGUCCAGACUCCUACGGGAGGCAGCAGUGGGGAAUUUUGGACAAUGGGCGAAAGCCUGAUCCAGCCAUGCCGCGUGAGUGAAGAAGGCCUUCGGGUUGUAAAGCUCUUUCGGCUGAAAAGAAAUCGCACAGGCUAAUACCUUGUGUGGAUGACGGUAUCAGCAUAAGAAGCACCGGCUAACUACGUGCCAGCAGCCGCAGUAA
rnacentral:rRNA from 1 species